UAACCAUGGCGAGGGCAAAUGGCUUACAAUUCCUUGUAUCUUUCUCAUGCUUGGUGUAAGGUCUCGCUAUCCUUUUGGGCAAAUGAAGAAAUUUGUUUCUUCAAACC
rnacentral:snoRNA from 1 species